rnacentral:lncRNA from 1 species
AAUACACUCUCACUGUCUUCUUUUUUCCAGGGUGGUCUAAAGGAUCUACUAAUUGUACUCAGGGGCAAAGGAUGUGAUGCCUUGAAUUCAGCCAAGUAACCUUGUAAGUCAUGAUCAAGACUCAGUUUCAACAGUCAAUAUUUGACACCACAACAAAGCUCUCUCAGAGACACAUAUGUGAUGGUCGGAGCAGGAAGACUGGACUGCCCAUUAAGGACUGCAGCAGAUGUGGCUGAGAUAAUGCAUCUGCCUGUGGCUUGUUCAUUUGUUUACAUUUCUAGCCUGUCUUAUACCUCUAAGAUACAUCAGGAUUAUCUUAAUAGACAGAUGGAUGACUAUUGGCCAAGGAAAUCCCUGCUGGAUGUUUCAACAGAAGUGAAGAAAAGCAGGUGAUUUUGCUCUUUCCCAUUCUUUUCUCUUUCUCUUUUUUUAAUUUACUCCCAUCCCAUUGGGAACAACAGAAGAGAUCAAAGGGAAGAAACCAUGACUGUCUGAGGCCUCUGGUUGUUUAUUCCCUUGAUCCCUGGUAUGUNGAAAUACUGGGAACGGUUUGCAUCCUUUGGAUUCAUAGCUUUGCUCCAGUAUACUUCCUUUUUGGCCAGCUUUAACAUCAGUAUAGGCAAAGCCAUAGAAGUUUCCAAAACAGAAUAGAAGUUGAGGGAGAUUUAGCAUACCCAAAGGCCCCUGAGAGCAACUUUUGGGGACAAAAUGCUACAGAGUGUCACUCCAAAUGUCACAUGUGGAAUUAUUUUCCUGACGGACAUCUUAUAGAUCUUGGCCAGUUAGGCCACAAUUACUUUAUACAGUAUUGUGUAGUAUGAUUUUGUUCUUACACAGUUGUCAAAAUGUGACUUUCCUCGAGCAAUGACACAGCUUGCUCUCUGCGGUACCAUUGGCAAACUGGUCUCCCUGUGGCAGCAUCAGCUGAUGUUGUUACACUAGAUCCAUGUCACCAUUGACUUGAUUUGCAGCAGCAUCCCAAAAGGGAUCAGGAGCAAAAGCUGCAUGUUGCACAUGAACUGGCACAGAAGUGGGAGCCAUGGCAGGGAGGCAUCAUUCA